CCUGCUAUCAGUGCUAAACUGCUUAUAUUGUAGAUGUCACCACAAAACCAAACUACAUCAUUAAAGAUGCAAGAAAGAAAGGACCACACGUUAUUACAGCUGAAAUCAAAUUUUAAUUCCUUUUCAUACUCAGCAAUCAUAGUCUAAAAUUCAAUAGAUUCAACACCAUAAACAUGGCAGGAAGCUCCGUAAUGUUAGCAGUUGGUCCAAACUCCUAGCCUCAUACUCAUCAAGCCAAAUACACAUCAGAUUGGGAAACACCAUAAUUACUGCUUCUGCAUCAGAAAAUAAGAUCCAGUGGUUAUACACACUAAUAUUUUCCUAAUAAUAAGUCCAACCGGAUCCAACAUAUACUGGUGGCUAACGUGAACAAAUUGGGUCGAAUCUAGCCAGUGCAAUCGAGACUACGAUCCAGCAGGGGAAAAGGAUAAAAGUAAAUAAGAAUAAUUGUCACAACAUACUUUGCAUUGCCAUGUCACAAAAAAUAGGGUGAUGCCAAGAUGAAGUUGAGCAUGAGCUCGUACUUCGCAUUGCCGUGCCCAUCUACUUUUUUAGUAAAAUGUAGUUAUUUGUAAGCAUGAAAGAUGGAUGAUAAGAUAUAAUAGGCGAUGAUAGGCUACUGGUUCCAAUACAUAUAUUGGGAAGAAAUCAAAAACUUUGGAACAUUGAUAUUGCCUUAACUUUGGACGGUAAUAAUACUGGUACACAUAUACUGAAUAAAUGGAGUUCAAAGGGUAACACUACCAAACUAAUCAAAGUGGCAGUGCUGGCAUGAAGCAGCAAGACAAUUUGCAAUUAAAGGUGCAUUGAGCUUGUACGUCUUGUGCAAGAUUCAUGCAAGAUAUUAUGUUUGAGUUUGUUCAAAAGGAGUUGUUUAAUGAAUGAAGAUUUAAGCGGCAAACACGAAAAUAAGUUUAUAUGACUGCUCUUAUUAAAGAGCAUGGAUUAAACUUAUGCAAAGAUAUGGGGCUGACCUACAAACUUGUAAGCAACUUAAGAAGAACAGCCACAUUACUCUCUUUAUCCCCCAUUAUCCCAGAGACCAAUGCCCCCCACCGAAUUCCUCUCUCACCAUCCCUGCAUAAGAUAAAUAUGUUUGAUUAAGAGGACAAAAAGAUAGGGUGGGGGAUCAAAUGCCAAUAAAGGCUAUUGCAG
rnacentral:lncRNA from 1 species